UGGGCUGGAAAUGCAUCUGUCCACACUCAUUAUAUAAAAGCAUAAAUAAUCUACCUCCCUGUUUUCUUAACCCUAAAGCAGUUCAAAUUCUGAUUUCUAUAAAAACCCUUCAUCAAGUAAACCAUUUUUUCUUUCCUUCUUCAAUCUUUCGACAAUGGAAGCUGAUGAGCAUGUAGCUAGUGUUCAUGGUUGUGAAGAAAAACUUUGACUACUAUAAGAACUGAUGCCAAGGUAUUAUAGCACAAGAUCGAUCAUGCUCAUGGUUGUGUUAACUUUGAUUCUCCUUAUGUUGCCUCCGGUUUUACCACCACUACCUCCUCCACCGCUGUGUCUUCUCUUUGUGCCGGUCAUGAUUAUGUCUGUUCUAGUUAUGUUGGCCUUAUCUCCAUCUUUCCAGGACCAAAUGCUUUGCUGCAUGGCGCCGCUACUAUAGAUAGCGUGAACAUACUAUAUAUAGAAAGGAUGAAGAUCUCCAAGGAAACUUGCGCUACGAGCUAGGAUCCUAUGAGGUUUCUUUUAGUCAUUCUACUCAGAAGCGAUGAGGAAAUGAAAAGGGAAAUUGCCCUAAUCUUGAGAUGGGUUCAGAGGCGGCCAUUGCUUCAAAUUCUUCAUGGGCCAUUUGAUUUCAGAUUUGGACUCUCAGCUUGUUCAUGAAGCAUCGUUAGGACUUUUAUUUAAAGGCAGCAAGUGAUGAUCUUCCUCUAUAUAUAUAUAUAUAUGUAGUGAGGGCAUCCAUCUUCAAGACUGGUAUAUAUGCUAGCUCCUUGUGCAAGAAAUAAUAGCAAGUUUCUUAGAGUACUAAAAGGUAGUAGAUUUUUUCCAUUCAUGUUGUAAUAGAAGAAAAUGAAUACAAAUAAAGCUUUCAGUCAUGAAGUUAAUCAAGAACCAUUAAUUA